UUGUGACAGAUAGCCAAGGCAGGGAGAAUAAUAAGUCCUGCAGAUACUCCUCCCGGAGACUAAUUGUCAAAUCCUGACAAUUCAGUCCAAGCCCGACGUACAUCAAAAUUCGUUGGGCGUUCCUUAAUCCCAUCAGAGUUUAACCCAAACACUUCAGAAAAAAUCUCGGGUGUUACUCUAAACACCUCAUCAAAUAAACGACACUUCAUUGCUUUCAUACUGUAUCCCAUCCGAUAGUGCGAGGGGGUGCAAACAAUUUCUUACUAAACCGUUUAUAGAUUUCGCCUUCAACGUCACUGUGAAUUAGAAAAGGUGCUCCCCAAGCUUGAGCGCGCUGUCUGCGCUCCUCCUCAUUUUGUGCCAUUCUUGCUCGAUCUACUGGAUUAAUAUUUUUCGUGCGAGCCAUGGUGUUUGAAUGGCAAAAAACUGACCAUUGGAAAGAACUCGCCCGCUGGGAUAUCUGCCUUGCCCGCGGAAAAAAAAAUCGCUCACCCACUGAGAUGGAGCGGCGACCGCGGAGAAAAUCGCUCGGGCGCUGGAUCUACCCUCGCCCACUGGAUCUCGCGCUUGGUCGCUGGAAGGAGGGCUCGACCGUUGGAUCGCGCUCGCCCGUUAGAUGGAUGCUCGCCCGCUGGAACUCAUGCUCGGCCGCGGGAAUGAGGGCUCGGCCGCGGGAAUGAGGGCUCGCCCGCUGGAGUGAGGGCUUGCCCGCUGGGAUUGUGCAGCGGCCGCUGGGAUGGAGCUCGCCCGCUGGUUUGGAGUGUGCGUGGUGGUGGCGGUUGAUGUAAAUGGAGAAUGGAAUGCGGUGACUGGUUUUAGGUUGGGAGGAGGAGAAUUGUGAGAGAGAAGGGUUUGUAGAGAGAGAGAGAGAGUAAAGAAGUGGGUAGAAGGAAAAAUAAUGAGAGAUGAUAUGAAUGGUGGGAAAUUAAAGGUGCACUGGUUACAAUAAAUUCGUCUGCAAAGCACAUCAAUUCU
rnacentral:lncRNA from 1 species